CACAUGGAAGUUACCUGACGUCCUGAUGUGCUCUCUGAAUUUUUACCUGAAAAAUAGCGGCAUGUUGGUAUAGUAGGCAACUGGAUGUGACGCCUUAAGAAACAUCAUGUUCUGCUAUGUGAGAAAGUGGAUAACAACACAAGAAUACCAGAUGUUGAUAGCUUGCUACAGUUAAUUCAUCUGCAUAUACAACCAGACCAGCAGCCCUCAUUAGCAGGCAGAAAAUGAUGAAUAUUCAUUGAAAUCAACUUGAAACUGCAAAACUCAAGAAAACUGCAAAACUGACACCAAGUCCAGAACAACUUCUGAGAGGCAUAUAUAUCUUUCAGCGGGCCCAAGGGUGGUGGGUGGCGCGUAGGUUCCACGCGUGGCGAUCGCCUAUCAUAGGCGAUCGCUUCCGCUUGGAUAAUCCCAACUGUCUUAUUGCGCGAAAUGCUGCCGAAAUUUUCA